UGCCUUGUUGCUACAGGAGAAAGGGCACAACUCAUUUUGUGUCUGAAUUCAGUAACAAGGCUACAGGAAACACAGGCUAAGCUUCCAUCAUUGUGCGUUAAAUUACAUUGGUGACAAUGAGGCCUGUAAUAUUU